rnacentral:lncRNA from 1 species
GUAAAUUAGCAAAUGAAAUAACAAAAAAAGUGGCGAAGUGAAGGUGGAGAGAUUCCCAUCCCCAUCUCUCAUCUCAUCCAAGCGAAUCGGAACCGCUAAAAAGCCAAAGUUAAAAGCACGAUGCGACUAAAGAAACAAACUAAAAAGAAAAAGGCGCUUACAUAUACUUUUUCCCCCGUUUCUCUAAACCCCCUACGACCGAGGACGAAUGAAAUAUUCUCCUUCCCCUAAAAGCGCCGAUCGACACGUAGCGCCCUGACACGCGGCGCAUUAUCUAUCCGGGAAAGACACGUCGCAGCCGUAGCCGAGAACGGGCCACGAUUCUCCGCCGUCGAAUGGAAUCGACGGUGGGAUUCGCAUGUGCGGGUCAUGAAUCUACACCCG